rnacentral:rRNA from 1 species
AUAGCGUAUAUUAAAGUUGUUGCAGUUAAAAAGCUCGUAGUUGAACUUCGAACCUGGUUGAGUGGUCUGCCUUCACGGUACGUACUGCUUGGCUGGGCUCUACCUCUUGGUGAGCCGGCAUGCCCUUUACUGGGUGUGUUGGGGAACCAGGACUUUUACCUUGAGAAAAUUAGAGUGUUCAAAGCAGGCCUUUGCCCGAAUACAUUAGCAUGGCAUAAUAAAAUAGGACGUGCGGUUCUAUUUUGUUGGUUUCUAGAGUCGCCGUAAUGAUUAAUAGGGAUAGUUGGGGGCAUUUGUAUUCCGUUGCUAGAGGUGAAAUUCUUGGAUUUACGGAAGACAAACUUCUG